AACGAACGUUAGCGGCGCGCUUAACACAUGCAAGUCGAACGCGAAAGUCCUUCGGGGCGAGUAGAGUGGCGGACGGGUGAGUAACGCGUGGGAAUCUACCCUAGAGCGGGGGACGAACCCGGGGAAACCCGGGCUAAUACCGCAUACGUCCUACGGGAGAAAGAGGGCCUCUGCUUGCACGCUCUCACUCCAGGAUGAGCCCACGUCCGAUUAGCUAGUUGGUAGGGUAAAGGCCUACCAAGGCCACGAUCGGUAGCUGGUCUGAGAGGAUGAUCAGCCACACUGGGACUGAGACACGGCCCAGACUCCUACGGGAGGCAGCAGUGGGGAAUAUUGGACAAUGGGCGCAAGCCUGAUCCAGCAAUGCCGCGUGUGUGAAGAAGGCCUGCGGGUUGUAAAGCACUUUCAGUGGGGAAGAACAGAUUCGGGUCAAUACCCCGGAGCCCUGACGUUACCCACAGAAGAAGCACCGGCUAACUCCGUGCCAGCAGCCGCGGUAAAGUGUGACUG
rnacentral:rRNA from 1 species